CGGGCAGAGAACCGGCGCACACAAGAAGGAAAUCGCUCCUUCUCCAACUGCCGCACCGGCACGACGUGGGCAGCUUCGUGCCGAACAUUCCGCCAGCCGGAAGGACCGCCGCGGCGGGCCGGGACUGACGCGACACCGGCCAGCGAUUGGGGGACCCAACGGAGAAAUUCCACCACUCGGGCGACUGCGGAGGAGGAUAAAAGGGCGCGCUUCCGGCCGUACGAGAGAAGAGAAUACCGUAGCGACAAGACGGACUCCGUGCAAGCGCGGACGAGAUCGCCGGGUGGUGAGAGUCCCACCUACGGAGGACGCCGGCCCGGGAAAACCCUCGCCCCCGUCUCGGGAAUCCCGCCUCCGCCACGAGUAGGCUACACCGGCAGUCACGCCUCCACAAGCCCCGCACUCAUCCCCUCACAACCCACUCACUUCACCCUUGCACCAAUAAACCACCGUUUGUGAACGUUCUUCUGCCUCCUGUGGGUCUGUACGCCGCCCUUCCCCGGGCUAAUUCCUCACUAUAUAUAUAUAUAUUAAUGCUUAUCAUAGCGUUAAUGCUUAUCAAAGCAUUAACGCUUAUCAAAGAUUAUUUUAUCAUAGCGUAAGUAAAAUUUCACACAUUAAUUUUCAGUGUUUAGUAAUAAUUUAAAACGUAGUAUUUAAUUUAAAAUUUAGUAUCAUCUUAAUUUUUAAUAUCUCAGUUAUAAUCCUACAUAGUCCCUAAAUGCUUAUGUAGACUUCAGAAUAGCCAGGUCUGAAUCUCUGUUGCGCACAGGGGCACGUUCUAACUCUGUGUUAAAACUUACCCUGCUAUUACAAGAAGCUAUGCUAUUCUGUGCAGUUAGCCAUGUAAAUUCACACAAUUCCCUUUUAUGAUUUUAUUUACUGCAGCAUAAGAAACAGGCCAAGGAAGACAGACAGUUGUGUACCUGGGUGUGUUAUUGCUGUGCCUUCAUUAUGUUGGCUUUUGCUUUGGCUUUUUCUGUGUUCAUAGUCAAGCAUUAAUAUUUGUUGUAUGUAAAUGUACAUUAUUUCAUAUGACUUUAUGAUUUUAUGUGAAGAAAUGUUUUUACUGACAUAAUAAUAUAGUUUAUCUUGUAUGUUUUUUUAACUCUUUAAACUCGACCAAAUGAUGUCCAAAUCAUGAGGUCCGGAAAGACAGCAAGAUAGAAAUCUUGAAUGUGGAAGCAUGGAAAACAGUUUUUCUUAUGAUACCUAGUUAAUGUCUGUAUAUGAAAAGUAAGCAGAGUUUUAAAUAUUAUACAAAAUUAAUUACUUAUUGUGCACACAUUACUGUAAGAAUUUGCAAUGCAUGUAAGCAUAUCUUUGGCAUAUUUUGACAUAAAAAUGGAAAGCAGAAAAAAGAUUGGGGAACAAAAUAUUGUUGAUUUACCACCUUGGCUUCCAGUAGCAGGUUUUUAUCUACUCAGGAAGUUUUAGCUGCCAGUUUUGAAAACGAGGAUGAUGGGAAGCGCUUGAUUUUUGAUAGAAAUGACCUGAUUUGAGGAGCGCGUUGGGAGAUGAAGAAAAUCAUCAUAAAGGGGGAGUUGAAUCACUGCGAAAAGAAAUCCCUAAGUGUACACACACAAAUACAAACACACACUUUCAAUCUGUGUGCGUUUUUAUUCGCACGAAUGAACACACACACACACACACAGACACACACACACACACUGUACACGUUUUAUAAGGAAAUUGGCUGUUUACUUCUAAGCAUCUUUGAAAAACUACAACAGUACAACUCUAUGUUUUUGUGCGCACAGAAAGUUCACUUUUAUAAGGAAAGUUUAUUUCUAAGCAUUUUUAGAAAUUGCCACAGUGCAAAAGAAAAAGGAAUGAUGUGUGUGUAUAUGUACAAUAUAAAAUGUAUUUGUUAUAUAUUUUUACUAUUUUUAUGUCUAUACAGCGCUGAUGGACAAGGCCUGUGAUGUGGCAGUGUGCCUCUUUGCUGACAGGGACUGCUUUGAGAAAUGGCACUGCUAAAAGGACACUGACAUUGGAAAAUUGACAGACUGGGAAAAAAUGCCUGUGACUGAUAUGUUUUACUUGUAAAUAGUUCACUAGUUUCUUGUUUCUCAUUUAAGUUUAUAUUUUGUACUUAUGGAGGACUGACCAGACUGAAAAAACACCUGUGACUAAUCUUUUAUUUGUAAAUAGUUCACUAGCAUUAUUUGUUUUUCACUUGUAAAGUUUAGAUUUUGCAUUUAUGGUGUUGAAAAAAAAUCUUUAAAAAAUUAUUUAAUUUAGCUUAUUUUAUUAAUUUAUUAAAUAAAAAUGUGUUUUUAA